AACGAACGCUGGCGGCAGGCUUAACACAUGCAAGUCGAACGCAUCCUUCGGGGGGAGUGGCAGACGGGUGAGUAACGCGUGGGAACGUGCCCUUCAGUUCGGGAUAACCCAGGGAAACUUGGGCUACUACCGGACACGUGCGAGAGACGAAAGCUUUAUCGCUGAAGGAUCGGCCCGCGUCUGAGUAGCUCGUUGGUGGGGUAAUGGCCCACCAAGGCGACGAGCAGUAGCUGGUCUGAGAGGAUGAUCAGCCACAUUGGGACUGAGACACGGCCCAAACUCCUACGGGAGGCAGCAGUGGGGAAUAUUGGACAAGGGGCGCAAGCCUGAUCCAGCCAUGCCGCGUGAGUGAUGAAGGCCUUAGGGUCGUAAAGCUCUUUCGUCCGGGACGAUAAUGACGGUACCGGAAGAAGAAGCCACGGCUAACUACGUGCCAGCAGCCGCCGUAA
rnacentral:rRNA from 1 species